UGUACAUAAGACGGUAAGACUGUUUGUAGGAGGAACUGGCUAGAGCCAUGGAUUGCUUAAGGUGGAGAAACAAGUGAACAUCCAUGGAUACCAGCUAAGGGAAUGUAAUGGUCGGGGCUAUCUCCACAACCUAAUUGGAGGCCCCGUCGCUUGCCCGGAGCUUCACACCACAAUGAUUGAGCUCCGAGACACCACCAAGCUUCUAGGAUGCCAAAGCAUCCACGAAGAACAAUAUCUAGGGUACUAAGUACCAAAGGUAGUAAGCUUCUCAACUUCUCACUUCCACGUAUCACCGUGGAGAACUCAAACCGAUGCAACUAAUGCAAUGGCAAGAACACAUGAAGUGGUCAAGUCCCUCACACUCAAAUCCCUCCACAACAACAAAAGCUAUGGAGAAAUAUGAGAGGAAGAACAAGGAGCUCACAAAGAACUCCAAGAUCUAGAUCCAAGGGGUUCCCCUCACAUAGAGGAGAAAGUGAUUGGUGGAGAUGUGGAUCUAGAUCUCCUCUCUCUUUUCCCUCAAGAACAAGCAAGAAUCAUUGGAGGGAUUGAGAGUUAGCAAGCUCUAAGAAUGUCAACAAUGGAGGUAGAACAAGAGCUCAACGGAUAGAUGAGGCCAAGGGGGAAGAAGACCCCCUUUAUAUAGUGGGGGAAGGAAUCAGACCGUUACCCCCACUAUCUGCCCGAGCUCCAGCGGUACUACCGCUGGCUGCAGCGGUACUACCGCUGGCACUCCAGCGGUACUACCGCUGAUUUCAGCGGUACUACUGCCAGCUAGCGGUACUACCGCCGGCUGCAGCGGUACUACCACUGGGCCCAUGGUAGUGCAAAGGCACUACCACCGCCAAGAAAGUCUUCGCAAAAAGGUCCGUCCACGAACAACCGCUAGGCACGCGGUACUAAGCUCCUGGAGCGGUACUACCGCUGACCAGUGGCCCUACUACCGCCAGCCAGCGGUACUACAGCUAGGUCCAGCGGUACUACCGCCAUCUCUAGCGGUACUACCGCUAGUUCCAGCGGUACUACCGCUCACCACUAAAACAGCCAUAACUUUCGCAUACGAGGUCCGAAUCGAGAAAACCCAAGCUUGUUGGAUUCAGGACGACAAGAGCUAUCCAAACUGCCUUUCUCAUGGCAAACAUCCUUUAGGAAGUGUACAUAGAUUUAACACUGAACCCCUUUUUUCCCUAGCAUCCACACCUUCAUCAGUCAAUGUGGUGGAGUGGCAAACAUCCAGUAGGCCUUGCCAUUGCACAGCCAAUUCCCCCCGCAAGCAUCUAUGAGAUUGGAGACAUGUCCCUUGAGAGUGAACAACUUAUAAACAAUUGACAUUUUUGCCAAAUGUAAGGUUAUAUAGACUUUUAAAUCUGGAAAUAAUAGAUGGCAUCCAUGUGAUUGGCAAUUAAAACCAUGUUUGCUUAGUUUUGAAUCCGUCUGUUCUCGGUGGUGCGAGCUCAUGCUGCAUUUUGAGAUUGUGUACAUAAGACGGUAAGACUGUUUGUAGGAGGAACUGUCUAGAGCCAUGGAUAGCUUAAGGUGGAGAAACAAGUGAACAUCCAUGGAUACCAGCUAAGGGAAUGUAAUGGAAGAUAAUCCAUGGAUACCAGCUAAGGGAAUGUAAUGGAAGAUAAAUUCUACACAGUUUGCCAUGGAUUUUGAGUCAUGUCCUAAGCCACGUAUACUCUAUGUGCCCCCUGGCUUUCUGUUGGGCCUUGUAUAUUUGGUUCCUGGGA
rnacentral:lncRNA from 1 species